rnacentral:misc_RNA from 1 species
UCCGAGUUGACCCCGGCAGUCUCCUGCGAGUCCCCGCCAUUACGCGCUGGCAACUGGGAGCGAGGGUUGCGCUCGUUGCGGGACUUAACCCAACAUCUCACGACACGAGCUGACGACAGCCAUGCAGCACCUGUGCUGGCGCUCCGAAGAGGGGCCGAUGUUUCCACCGGCUUUCACCAGCAUGUCAAGCCCAGGUAAGGUUCUUCGCGUAGCAUCGAAUUAAGCAACAUGCUCCACCGCUUGUGCGGGCCCCCGUCAAUUCCUUUGAGUUUCAGCCUUGCGGCCGUACUCCCCAGGCGGGGUACUUACUGCGUUAGCGACGGCACCGAAGGGGUCGCUCCCCCCGACGCCUAGUACCCAUCGUUUACGGCGUGGACUAC